rnacentral:rRNA from 1 species
GACGAACGCUGGCGGCGUGCUUAACACAUGCAAGUCGAAGAUAGUGGCGAACGGGUGAGUAAUACGUGGGUAACCUGCCCUCCUUUUUGGGAUAAGCCUUGGAAACGGGGUCUAAUACCGACUAAAGGGGGAUGGGCUCGCGGCCUAUCAGCUUGUUGGUGGGGUGCUGGGCUACCAAGGCGGUGACGGGUAGCCGGCCUGAGAGGGUGACCUGCCACAGUGGUACGGAGAUACGGCCCAGGCGCGUACGGGGGGGGGCAGUUGGGGAAAUUGCACAAUGGGCGAUAGACUGAUGCAGCGUGGCCGCGUGGGGGAUGAGGGCUUUCGAGUUGUAUACCUCUUGCGCAAGCGAGUGGGUAGGUGGAGAAGAAGCGCCGGCUAACUACGUGCCAGCAGCCGCGGUAAUAC